CCUAGAUAUAUCAUGCCACGCAGCGGCUAGAGGAUCAUUAGCUAACGUUACUUGCUUCCUGCUUAGAAUUUUCAGGGUUCGCCUGCAGCGUCGCGAUUACUUCCAUUGUACUUGCUCAUUUACGAUUACGUUGCCACUGCUAGCAAACGACAACGCACGGGACCUGAGACGUUUUUGUUCAAAUGAAAUGGAUAUGGCAUCAUCUCCCUUCAAACUUAGUGAUCUUGGUGGAAUUGAAAGGAUGAUACUACCAGAACGUCCAGCCACUAUUGACCAAUUUAUCAUUUUACUGAGGCAGCAAUGUGACAUUCCUUACACCAUUGACAUUCAAUGUCAAAACAGUCUGAUUCCCAGUUUUUCAAGCUGACCUGCAUUGAUGAUCUGCCAAACAUGGGCACAAUUAAGCUUUUGAUAUUGGAGGAUGCCAUGACUAGCUUUGGGGUGUCAUUGAGUAAUCCACACUUAACUUCACAGCAUCCAGGACAACCGAGUGACAACUUUGCGUUGCCAACCUUUUCACAUGAUCUUGAAUUGUUACUGAGAGAGGGAAAUCAAGGGUAUGACCAAUUUGGAAGACAGCUGGUGUUAACCAGAAACCAAAGACAACAGAUUUCGGAUGGCGUGGCAAGAGCUAUGUAUGAGAGGAAUUAGUAUCCAAGUAAGUGUGGCUUUGAAGAUGCUGCAAAAGCCUUAGUCCACUGACAUAAAUUCCUUGGGUCACCAAAUGGGUGGGAGGGAUGGAAGAAUGGCCUUAAGUUUAAAGUAAGCAAAUACAGAAUGAAACUAGGCAGAGAUAGGUGUCCUGAGGUUGGUAAAAAACGUGCCCAAAAAAGGAAAGAUCCAGAACCACCACUAAAACACAGUUUACUGUGGCACAGUCAACCUGUCACAGUUCCCUCAAUCAAAAGUUGAAGCAGAUCAGGAAAACCUAAGGGCCGAUAUUGCUCUUGAAGACACACAGAAGACACACAAAGACUUGGCUGUAAUCAAUCACUGUAUGGGAAAGACAUUUGCCCUGAGAAGACAGAAGAUUCUGAACAUCAGUCCUGAAAUACAGACAGUGGAGAAUAGAUGGCCGGCACUAUUUCUGGAGUCACAGGUAUUGCUUUGGCCUGGUGACAGUGUUUACAUUCUGUUACAAUGUCUAGAAUGGAGGGUAUGAGUUAUUGUGUUAUUGUCAUUCAGUAAGAGCCUAGUAAUGUAUAAUUGCAUUUAGUACAGAAGACUUCUGUGUCUUUAAAUCAAAUAUUUAAUCUACAGAUAUGUGCUGAGUCUCAUCGCAUAACUAAUCAGAACCUGCAGCGAUUGUUCUUUGCUGUACUAGACCAUCACACUGAACGCUUGCUGGCUUUAUCCUGGGAGGUGCAGGGACAGAUGCGGAGCUUUGGACUUUGGCUUUCUGCCAUUCUGAAGACGUAUGAUGAAAUGCAGUCAAGGGAUGUGAAUGUCAGGCGAACUGCUGCCCUUCAUUGUCUCCCAGCACUACUUCUUGAAAGCGACUCAGAGGUGUUCAAAACCUGCAAGGAACGUGAGUCAAGAAAUCCUGGUGUCCUCAUUGGUCCAGUCUGCAUACUUGCUAUCAUCUCUGAUGAUGAAGAUGCAGUCUCCCUUCAGCCACACCAAGUCUCCAUCAUCCACGAAGAUAGAGUGGUGAUGCACAGCUUCCAAUCCUGGCCAGAUGCUUUUCUCGCUCUAAUUGGCCUGGUUUAUGCUCUACAUCUGGAUUACCCAAAACCCAUGUCCAGCUCAUUUCUAUUCAUUCAGCAAGUGUUCCUUAACAUUGAUUGCGAAUAGCUCAAGUCAAGUUUUGGCCUUGAAAAAUAAACUGUAACCUAAUUAUAAUCUGUUUUCAGGUCAAAUGUGCCUGUGGUAAGACAACAGAUUUUUUUCUCUUUUUUUUCUUCAACCUUAGAAAAGAGAACACAAAGUUUGUGUAUGCUUUUUGUUGUUGUUUCCUUUCAUGUGGGUUCUCUUGAAAUGUAACCAGAGGAACACAAAUUGACAACUGUGAAUCUCAUGUG